rnacentral:rRNA from 1 species
CCUACGGGAGGCAGCAGUGGGGAAUAUUGGACAAUGGGCGAAAGCCUGAUCCAGCAAUGCCGCGUGAGUGAUGAAGGCCUUCGGGUCGUAAAGCUCUUUUACCAGGGAUGAUAAUGACAGUACCUGGAGAAUAAGCUCCGGCUAACUCCGUGCCAGCAGCCGCGGUAAUACGGAGGGAGCUAGCGUUGUUCGGAAUUACUGGGCGUAAAGAGUACGUAGGCGGUUAUUCAAGUCAGAGGUGAAAGCCCGGGGCUCAACCCCGGAACUGCCUUUGAAACUAGAUAACUAGAGUCUUGGAGAGGUUAGUGGAAUUCCGAGUGUAGAGGUGAAAUUCGUAGAUAUUCGGAAGAACACCAGUGGCGAAGGCGACUAACUGGACAAGUACUGACGCUGAGGUACGAAAGCGUGGGGGGCAAACAGGAUUAGAUACCCUGGUAGUCCACGCCGUAAACGAUGAUAACUAGUUGUUCGGUCACUUGGUGACUGAGUGACGCAGCUAACGCAUUAAGUUAUCCGCCUGGGGAGUACGGUCGCAAGAUUAAAACCUAANANAGUAUAGCGNGNGAGNGCGACGACGACGACGACGGAGGAG